GUGCCAGCAGCCGCGGUAAUACGGAGGGUGCGAGCGUUGUUCGGAAUCACUGGGCGUAAAGCGCGUGUAGGCGGCCCACUAAGUCUGAUGUGAAAGCCCGGGGCUCACCCCCGGAAGUGCAUUGGAAACUGGUGGACUCGAGUCCCGGAGAGGAGAGUGGAAUUCCUGGUGUAGCGGUGAAAUGCGUAGAUAUCAGGAGGAACACCGGUGGCGAAGGCGGCUCUCUGGACGGUGACUGACGCUGAGACGCGAAAGCGUGGGGAGCAAACAGGAUUAGAAACCCGCGUAGUCC
rnacentral:rRNA from 1 species